rnacentral:misc_RNA from 1 species
GUGAAUCAUCAAAUUUUUGAACGCAAAUUGCACUCUUUGGUAUUCCGGAGAGUAUGCCUGUUUGAGGGUCAGUUUAAAUAAACAUCGGUGUGGUUGCUGCCUUUCGUGGUGUCGCACCGGAUUUGGUUCGUCUUGCCUUCGGGUAAGUGACCUAACAUUUUGCAUGAUUUUUUUCGAACGUAUUUAAAUGAUUUUACGUCAGUUUGCGAUAUCCUAUA